UAUUGAAACGUCAUUCCAGACUAGUCGUCGUCGGUUUAAGACGUAAUCGUCAAGAUUAGUUAUUGUGUUUAUAUUUUUCUGAAAAAUCAAUUAUUUGUUGAUGAAGUUUUAUUUAUUAAACUUUUGUUAAAGCUUCGCUACUAUUUCUUAAACUGGCCAGCCAAUAUUCCGGAAUCCGGAUUUACUGAAGGAAUUCAGAAUCUGAUAUCGUUAAAUUAAUUUUGGUGUACGAUUACCGAAGUCGAAAAGUGUCUGAUUCC